rnacentral:rRNA from 1 species
GUCAGCCGCCGCGGGAACACCGGCGGCCCGAGUGGUGAUCGUGAUUAUUGGGUCUAAAGGGUCCGUAGCCGGUUGGUCAGUCCUCCGGGAAAUCUGAUAGCUCAACUAUUAGGCUUUCGGGGGAUACUGCCAGACUUGGAACCGGGAGAGGUAAGAGGUACUACAGGGGUAGGAGUGAAAUCUUGUAAUCCCUGUGGGACCACCUGUGGCGAAGGCGUCUUACCAGAACGGGUUCGACGGUGAGGGACGAAAGCUGGGGGCACGAACCGGAUUAGAUACCCGGGUAGUCCCAGCCGUAAACGAUGCUCGCUAGGUGUCAGGCAUGGCGCGACCGUGUCUGGUGCCGCAGGGAAGCCGUGAAGCGAGCCACCUGGGAAGUACGGCCGCAAGGCUGAAACUUAAAGGAAUUGGCGGGGGAGCACAACAACGGGUGGAAGCCUGCGGUUUAAUUGGACUCAACGCCGGACAACUCACCGGGGGCGACAGCAAUAUGUAGGCCAAGCUGAAGACUUUGCCUGAAUCGCUGAGAAGUGGUGCAUGG